UAUGAGAGUUUGAUCCUGGCUCAGGACGAACGCUGGCGUCGUGCCUAAUACAUGCAAGUCGUACGCUUCUUUUUCCACCGGAGCUUGCUCCACCGGAAAAAGAAGAGUGGCGAACGGGUGAGUAACACGUGGGUAACCUGCCCAUCAGAAGGGGAUAACACUUGGAAACAGGUGCUAAUACCGUAUAACAAUCGAAACCGCAUGGUUUUGAUUUGAAAGGCGCUUUCGGGUGUCGCUGAUGGAUGGACCCGCGGUGCAUUAGCUAGUUGGUGAGGUAACGGCUCACCAAGGCCACGAUGCAUAGCCGACCUGAGAGGGUGAUCGGCCACAUUGGGACUGAGACACGGCCCAAACUCCUACGGGAGGCAGCAGUAGGGAAUCUUCGGCAAUGGACGAAAGUCUGACCGAGCAACGCCGCGUGAGUGAAGAAGGUUUUCGGAUCGUAAAACUCUGUUGUUAGAGAAGAACAAGGAUGAGAGUAACUGUUCAUCCCUUGACGGUAUCUAACCAGAAAGCCACGGCUAACUACGUGCCAGCAGCCGCGGUAAUACGUAGGUGGCAAGCGUUGUCCGGAUUUAUUGGGCGUAAAGCGAGCGCAGGCGGUUUCUUAAGUCUGAUGUGAAAGCCCCCGGCUCAACCGGGGAGGGUCAUUGGAAACUGGGAGACUUGAGUGCAGAAGAGGAGAGUGGAAUUCCAUGUGUAGCGGUGAAAUGCGUAGAUAUAUGGAGGAACACCAGUGGCGAAGGCGGCUCUCUGGUCUGUAACUGACGCUGAGGCUCGAAAGCGUGGGGAGCAAACAGGAUUAGAUACCCUGGUAGUCCACGCCGUAAACGAUGAGUGCUAAGUGUUGGAGGGUUUCCGCCCUUCAGUGCUGCAGCUAACGCAUUAAGCACUCCGCCUGGGGAGUACGACCGCAAGGUUGAAACUCAAAGGAAUUGACGGGGGCCCGCACAAGCGGUGGAGCAUGUGGUUUAAUUCGAAGCAACGCGAAGAACCUUACCAGGUCUUGACAUCCUUUGACCACUCUAGAGAUAGAGCUUCCCCUUCGGGGGCAAAGUGACAGGUGGUGCAUGGUUGUCGUCAGCUCGUGUCGUGAGAUGUUGGGUUAAGUCCCGCAACGAGCGCAACCCUUAUUGUUAGUUGCCAUCAUUCAGUUGGGCACUCUAGCAAGACUGCCGGUGACAAACCGGAGGAAGGUGGGGAUGACGUCAAAUCAUCAUGCCCCUUAUGACCUGGGCUACACACGUGCUACAAUGGGAAGUACAACGAGUCGCGAAGUCGCGAGGCUAAGCUAAUCUCUUAAAGCUUCUCUCAGUUCGGAUUGUAGGCUGCAACUCGCCUACAUGAAGCCGGAAUCGCUAGUAAUCGCGGAUCAGCACGCCGCGGUGAAUACGUUCCCGGGCCUUGUACACACCGCCCGUCACACCACGAGAGUUUGUAACACCCGAAGUCGGUGAGGUAACCUUUUGGAGCCAGCCGCCUAAGGUGGGAUAGAUGAUUGGGGUGAAGUCGUAACAAGGUAGCCGUAUCGGAAGGUGCGGCUGGAUCACCUCCUUUCUAAGGAA
rnacentral:rRNA from 1 species